rnacentral:rRNA from 1 species
CGUGUAGGCGGUUAGAUAGGUCCGUUGUGAAAACUCGAGGCUUAACCUCGAGACGUCGAUGGAAACCAUCUGGCUAGAGUCCGGAAGAGGAGAGUGGAAUUCCUGGUGUAGCGGUGAAAUGCGCAGAUAUCAGGAAGAACACCCGUGGCGAAGGCGGCUCUCUGGUACGGUACUGACGCUGAGACGCGAAAGCGUGGGGAGCGAACA